CCUUAGGGCAACUUGCCUGAGCCUCCUUUGCUACCAGUUUCACACACAGCUCUGGCUGGAUUGGCCUUUCUCCAGGCUGUCCUCUGUGGUCUCCGUCCUCAGCGCAGGAUAGACUGACUAAGAGCUCUGAUCCUACCAUAAUUGACUGACUGGAAAAUAGACUCAUGAAUCUGAUGUCACCACCAUAAACUAGCACUUGAAUGAUUUACCCUGUCAGAGCCUUGGAAUUUGAAAUUUCCAGAAAAAUUCUAGCCCCAAAGAAGGAGACGUCUAUGGAGACAGAUUCAAGACACAAACAGGGUGCUGACUCGACAAUUUAGAUCCCAGACAGACUGAUUCGCCAUGUCACAGUCCCCCAGACCUCCGGCUCCCUCGCAGCCUCAACCAUAAAGGAGGAAGAGCACUCCUCUGCCCUUACCUUGGCCUAGAAGGUCCAGCAGACUCUGAAACAACCGGCAAUGGAGAUCCCAGAAGAACAAAUGGAAACCACCAGGACGUCCUGCGCAGGCAACUCAACAAGCCUCCAUACCCACAUGGGGGCAAAUUAAGUCACUCUGUCAUCAAGCACAGGGAAUAGCUUCCAUGCAGGGAUCUUCAGCCUCUUCCGAAAGGGUUUUUAUUGCCAUGCUUGUUUUACUGUCUUGUCAGGCAAGUGCUACCUCUUCUACUUCAAAAAAAAUACUGGACAUAUUUCCCUGAUCCCCCGACCUUCCAAGUAGUUACUUGGAACAUCGACCCUAUACGGGUCAACACAGACCAGCCUCAUCUCUUGGGAGGAUCCUAGACUUCUUAUGAUAAAGAUCACUACCCCAUCAAUUUUAACUAUACUUUUAGGGGAUUAACGGAUGAUCUUCCCCUUUGCUUUAACUUCCCCCAUAGUCAUACAAGUGAUCUCAUCACUCCCUCUAAGGAGGGGUGUGUUGGAGCCUCCAAGAAAGCAAUUCUGACAGAUUCUCCAACAUCAAAAUUUUCAGAAAAAACAGGAGAUCUGCUGGUUUGGAUAUUACAGGCCCAUAUGCCUGGGGUCCGUGACCCCUAUAAAUCCUUGUUCCUUAAUGCUCCACCAAAAUAUCCAAAUUGUAUUGAUGUUGCUCCAUCAGAUGUCAUAUGGAAAACUAUAGACAACCGCCUUGGAUAUCUGGUAUGAAAAUCUUGUACUUAUAAUUCAAAAAUAGAUUAUAGAAUAUGGGGAGGUGGAAACUAUUCGGUACAAGACUGGAGCAAUCCAAAUCCAAGUCAGAAUCUAAGAUCUGUUUCUGACCAUGUCAGUAGGUUUAGCAAUUGGAAGAAUGAUUCCCUCCCUUGGCCAUUGGUGCACGGUAGAUGGUAUUAUAAUCAAUUUGCUCCCCCCAUGUUGUCCUAUACAACUAAGGACAAAACCUUUUGGCAACCAGAAAUUUAGAGAGCCCUUGCUCCCACCUCCAUUGUUACUUUAACUCAGCCAGAAAACAAUUCCACCUAUUCUGUGCUGGCUUGUUUACCCUCCCCUUACGUUUUUUGUUUGUUUGUUUGUUUACUAAGGAUUCAAAAAGACUUCAUAUACAAAUGAAUUAUUCAGGUGGACCAAAUAUAGUCUACUGUGAACCAUGCAUGCUCUCAUCCUGUUUAACCCCUCAAUAUAAUAUUUGUUCCUUUGUGGUGCUGCAACGUCCACCUUAUCUUAUGGUGCCCGUCACAGUGAAUGCCUAUUGGUAUGACAAUUAUGGUUUAGCCGUUCUGCAACAACUACAAGAUUUAAUGCAUUCCCAGCGGUUUGUAGGACUACUUAUUCUAGGGAUUUCAGCUUUAAUAACAGCAAUUACCUCUGUCACUGUGGUGGCGAUAUCCUUGACUCAACAAGUACAUACUGCUCAAUAUGUCAAUGAUAUGUCAAAAAAUGUUUCUUUAGCUCUAGCUAUGCAAGAGAUUAUAGAUAGGAAAUUAGAAGGAAAAAUAGAUGCCCUAGAAGAAGCAGUCAUGCAUAUUGGAACUGAGUUGCAGGCUUUAAGGGUAAAGUUAGCGUUAUCCUGUCAUGCCGACUAUCAGUGGAUCUGUGUAACACCCCUAAAAGUAAAUGAUACAGAUUACAAUUGGGAAAAGAUGAAAAAUCAUAUUUCAGGUGUAUGGAAUAGCUCCAGCAUUAGUUUAGAUCUUGGAAAGCUUCACGGUCAGAUAAAAACCUUAGAACAUUCCCGCCUGGACUUUACUGCUGCAGGAGCUGCUAAUGAUUUUUUUCAUACCUUUUCUAACUUUAUUACUGGAAAAAAUAUCCUAUCAACUAUUUUCAGUUACGCUGCUAUAGCAGCCCUAGUUUUACUUCUCAUUAUAAUCCUUCCUUGCAUUGUCAGAACUCUCCGGCAGAGCACUCAGAAGCUUGCGACUGAGAUCCAUCUGGCUGUCAUAAAAGUAAAAAAAGGGAGAGAUGCCGGGAGCCAACAUACGAGACCCUACCCAUGACAAGGCCAUAAGGGAGAAAACCUGACGGGCAAGGCGGAUCAGGUUUUCAGGGGUUUCAAAAGGGUCAGCUCACGAGACCCUACCCCU